UGGGGAAUAUUGCACAAUGGGCGCAAGCCUGAUGCAGCCAUGCCGCGUGUAUGAAGAAGGCCUUCGGGUUGUAAAGUACUUUCAGCGGGGAGGAAGGUGUUGAGGCUAAUAACCUCAGCAAUUGACGUUACCCGCAGAAGAAGCACCGGCUAACUCCGUGCCAGCAGCCGCGGUAAUACGGAGGGUGCAAGCGUUAAUCGGAAUUACUGGGCGUAAAGCGCACGCAGGCGGUCUGUCAAGUCGGAUGUGAAAUCCCCGGGCUCAACCUGGGAACUGCAUUCGAAACUGGCAGGCUAGAGUCUUGUAGAAGGGGGUAGAAUUCCAGGUGUAGCGGUGAAAUGCGUAGAGAUCUGGAGGAAUACCGGUGGCGAAGGCGGCCCCCUGGACAAAGACUGACGCUCAGGUGCGAAAGCGUGGGGAGCAAACA
rnacentral:rRNA from 1 species